UGACCUAUGGUGUAAUUGGUAACACGGCAGUUUUUGGUUCUGUUAUUCAAGGUUCGAGUCCUUGUAGGUCAA
rnacentral:tRNA from 2 species